GCUUUUCAGUGACUCUGCUGCUCCCAGAACCAAAAGGUUUUCCAAACCCUUAGAAGCUCAUAGUGAAACUGCAGAGGAUUCGUGAAAUUUUGCAGUUCUGGAAUGACUCCGACAUAACCUCCUGAUUCCCAUCAGCCCCGUGUCCGGCAGCAUUCCAUCACUCUUCGACGGUAUCGAUCUGGCCGUCUCUCUUGUCAGCCUCAUCACUGCAACU